UUUCAGGUAUGUACGAGGGUGCAUCAGUACAUCGGCACUGCAGGUAUGGUCAACCAGACCCAAGAAAUUGGUCUCGUACAACGGCACUGCAGGUAUGGUCAACCAGACCCAAGAAAUUGGUCUCGUACAACAGCACUGCAGGUAUGGAGGGAUUAAAGUUACUUGGGAAAACUUUUGAAUCGCAAUUGGUCAUAAUGUAGUGUGUGUAUAUUCCCACAAGUACAACAGGUGUAGGGAACUAGUUUAAGUUUAACAUGUUAUACCUUGCAGCGGUGGCCUUCUAAUAGGUAUAGCCUAAGAACUCUCUACAUUAACCACUUCAGAGUGGUAAACCAUUCUUCUGGCCAGUAAUUUGAACAUUUAGUUGUGGUGUAACA